UGAUCCUGGCUCAGAUUGAACGCUGGCGGCAGGCCUAACACAUGCAAGUCGAGCGGUAGCGGGAAGACUUGCUCUUUGCCGACGAGCGGCGGACGGGUGCGUAACACGUAGGAAUCUGCCCGGUAGUGGGGGAUAGCCCGGAGAAAUCCGGAUUAAUACCGCAUACGCCCUAAGGGGGAAAGCAGGGGAUCUUCGGACCUUGCGCUAUCGGAUGAGCCUGCGUCGGAUUAGCUUGUUGGUGGGUAAAGGCCUACCAAGGCGACGAUCCGUAGCUGGUCUGAGAGGAUGAUCAGCCACACUGGGACUGAGACACGGCCCAGACUCCUACGGGAGGCAGCAGUU
rnacentral:rRNA from 1 species